AUUUGCAACUUCUGACAGCUUUCUAUGUUCCGGAUAGUUUGAGUGACUGGAGAUCAGAGGUCAGAAGGAAAGAUAAGGUAAAACCAGCAUUAGUCCUUUACAAAGAAACACACGAUAGCUGCUUCUGUCGCUGCUGUCAUUCUGGAGGUCAACUGGUGUUUCUUCUAACAACAUGAAGUCCACAUGGCUGCAAUUGGAUUCGCUGCUGCUGUUGCUGUUGCUGCUGCUCAUGGAGUUGAGUUUUGUGUCUCCUCAGGAAGGCAACAAGCCCAAUUUUGUCCUUAUGAUGGUAGAUGACCUUGGAAUUGGAGACCUGGGCUGUUAUGGCAAUAAAACUCUGAGGACUCCCAAUAUUGACCAGCUGGCACAAGAAGGGGCAAAGCUGACCCACCACAUCGCUGCAGCGAGCCUCUGCACACCCAGUAGGGCAGCGUUUCUCACCGGACGAUACCCAAUACGAUCAGGCCUGGCUGAUCAUCGGGAACCUGGUGUUUUUAUCUUUAAUGCAGCAUCUGGAGGUCUUCCCAGCCAAGAGGUCACCUUUGCUAAACUAGCCAAACAACAAGGCUAUGAAACCGCUCUUAUAGGAAAAUGGCACUUAGGACUUAACUGCAAGAGCAGUGAUGAUCACUGCCACCAUCCCAGUACCCACGGCUUUAAAUACUUCUUCGGUAUCCCUCUGACCAACCUGCGGGAUUGCCAGCCUGGACACGGCACCGUUUUCCAGAUCCAGAAAUAUUUUCCAUUUGGGACGCUGGGCAUCGUUUUGGUCACAGCAGUUUUCCUCCACCAUGGCGGGAUCAUCACCAUCCGCAGAGGGCUGAUCCUGAGCCUGCUGUCUCUGCUGGUUGUGGUUACAGUUCUGGCAGCAGGACUUUUCCUGAUGAUCCCAUACUUCAACUGUGUUCUCCUGAGGGACCACAGCAUCGUAGAGCAGCCGUUCACAUCUGAAAACCUGACACAGAGGAUGACUCACGAGGCGGUGGAUUUCAUAGAGAGGAACUCAGCCAGACCUUUCCUGCUGUUUUUCUCUUUCGUCCAAGUACACACAGCCGUGUUUGCUUCGGCGGCAUUCAGGGGAACAAGCCGUCACGGCAUCUAUGGGGAUGCCGUCCAUGAGGUGGACUGGAGUGUAGGUCAGAUCAUGGAGGCCCUGGAAAGACUCAACCUGAGAGAAAACACUCUUGUUUACCUGACUUCAGACCAGGGGGCUCACCUGGAGGAAAUAUCUGCAAGUGGGGAGGUCAUGAGAGGAUGGAACGGAAUAUAUAAAGCAGGGAAGUCCACAAAUUGGGAGGGAGGGAUCCGGGUCCCAGGAAUUCUGCGCUGGCCAGGGAAGAUCCCCAGUGGCAGGCAAAUAGACGAGCCCACCAGCAACAUGGACUUGUUUCCUAUGGUGGUGCAGCUGAGCGGAGCUUCAGUCCCAGAGGACAGGGAGAUAGACGGUCAUGACCUGAUGGAUCUGCUGCAGAGGAAAGUUGAAAGGUCAAACCGCGAGUUUCUGUUCCAUUACUGUAACGCCUACUUGAACGCUGUCAGAUGGCAUCCUCAAAACAGUUUCCCAGAGACUAUGGGUUGAGGAGGAAUUGGAAGUUUGUCGGCUUAGACCUGGUGUCAUUCCAUCAGUGUUAAACUUCCUGGCUCAUCUUGGAAGAGUACGUGCCAGAAAGACCACGACCAAGCAGCCUUGAGAUCUUAGGCAGCGUCUCCCUCAGGUCCCUCUCUAUCUCCCCACACAUCCACCAACCACUGGAACACAUCUCCAAAGUUCUGCUGGACCAGCUCAGCUUCCCCUCAGAAGAAGUGCUGCCACCUGCCAGAUGAAGGAGCCUUUUGAGAGGAAGCUGGCAUCAUGAUUGGACUGUACUUUGGUCUGUUCCAAUCCAGCUUCAGCUCCAGAGACGGCAGGCGGGACGAGUCAACGGAGGCCGGGUGGACGAAGACAUGAAGCUGAGUACAAUCCAGAAAACAACAGAGGAGGAGUGCAGCAGCCCAGAGCCAGAACAACCAGAGCAGCAUCGUAUGUCUCUUAGAAAACAUCAUAGUAGAGCCUUUGGUAUGAAAAAACACCAUCAUAUACAUCGUAGAUUGUACAAAUAACAAGUCAAAGCAAAGAGACAUACAUUGUAGAAUUGUAGUAAUUGUGGGCUGACUGAUUUACUGAUUAUCAGUAUUUUAUUUUUUACUGAUUUAUGGUAAUAAAUCAAUUUAAAAAUGGUGCUACUUUGGCUCUGAACCUUUAUCUAUCUGUGGUCGCUCUGUCUUCUGGAGUGAUUUGAUUGGUUAUCCGUCACAAAUAAAACUCUUUUAACUUAACAUCUGUAAACAAAACAAAAACGUAUCAACAAAGUUUUCUGUUAGAGUUUGUGUACUUGUAAGUUUAACGCCAAGAUUUUAAAUAUUUUCAUUUACUGCAAAUGAAUAUCUACUCCAAAUGUCUCACUAAUAAUCAUUAUCAGCCUUAAAAACCCACAAAACACCCCUCUAUACUCGACCACACUUAGUACAGUCCGGUUCCCCCUUCUAUAAAUCUGCUUGGAAUCUUCCACUUCCUGUUUGUCAAAGUGGCCUUCUACCUGGACAGGUUUUGUUGGAGCUCAUGCAACAAACAUUUUGGGUAACUGCACUUUAAUAUGGAUGGAUGACACUGAAUUAGAGUCUGUUUUCAUGAGACUGAGUUAAGAUGUGUAGCUCUGUCAUUAAAUAGGAAAUUAUUUCUCAGAAUUCACAGAGAAAAGUCUGAAAUGUUUGCUAGGUUAGCAUCCCACAUGUUCUUUGGCUCAGCUAAAGCUAACUCUCUCCAACUUCUGGAUCUCUUGAGUUGCUUGUUGUUAAAAUAUCUUGCUGUAGGUGCUGAAGCUCAGAAAGUCUGAGAUGUUUGUUCAAAAUAAGCUCAUUCUCAAGUCUUAUCUGAACUGUGCUCUUUUGUUUGAACUUUCCCUAAACUUAGGAGUUAAUGACAGAGCAGCACAUCCAGACUCAGUCUCAUUUAUGUAGAGAUUAAACUUCAGUGUCAUUCAUUGAUGCUAAAGUGCAGUUUUUCAAAUGUUUGUUGCACAUGCUCCAGACCAAACCAGUCCAGGUGGAAGACGAUGUGAAGAGAAAGCUCCAGAGGAUGAAUAUCACACAUUUACGUUGGAAAUAAAUGUCCUUUAAUUAGACAUUGUCAUGCAAAAGUUGGAUUUCCCUUUAAUGAUGUUCAAAUCUUUGUUGAGUGUUUUGUUGAUGUUGGUUUCUAAAUGUUUUUUGACACUCUGCCCCAAAGAUUAAAACCUUCUACGGCUCACAAGCUGCAACAAUUCACACAUUAUCAACUAUCUUUCUGACUAAACUAAGAUAAAAAAGUGAAAAACUGAUUCCUGCAUCAUGAAUGUAAAUCUUUUUGGUUUUUAUGACAGUAAACUGAAUAUAUUUGGGUUUGACAUUUUAUAAACCAAAACAAGAAAUGAAUUACUGGAGAAAACUACAGAUUAAUGGACAAAGAAAAUGUGUUUUCCAACAUAUAUGGCUGAAUUACUCCAACAUUACAAGAUACAUACAAUUUAAAUUCUAUUUUAUUUAUAUAAUGCCAGUUACAGGUCAAAUUGUCUCAAGACGCUUUAUUUUUAUAUUUUUUUGUCAUACUGAAAAUAUGACAAAGUAAGAAAUUUAAAGCUCUUGACUAACCAAAUUUAUUUGAUUUUUAAGAGAUUAAUUGACAAUUAAAAUAACUUUCUCCACUAAAACUAAUAAACAUGAGGUCAAAUAGAAGGUAGAGUUUUAAAUACUGCAGUCCCACGACGACAAGAAUAAAAUUUGUCAACAAAAAUUAAAUCUGCUGGUGGAUUCCAUUAAAGUCCUAAUAAAUGAUAAAGUGUGAUACUAAAGGUUUGUGGUGCUAAAAAUGUCCAAGAUAUGAAGUUGAACAUCUGGAUGGAGGUUGAUAAAAGUUGACCUUCCUUCAUUUCUCUGGAGCGACUCCAUGGAUUUUAUGGAUGGUGGUUAAAGACCUGCUCUUCUAGUCGUCUUCCUUCUAGUCGCUGUAAAAAGUCAGUCCAUCCUGACCGACUUCAACACCUCUUCAUGACAACUUGUUCUGCCUCUGACCUGGUGGAAACUCCAGAAACUCAGGAAAACCUGUGGAGACUCGAAGAACUCGUGGAGACUCGAAGAACUCGUGGGGCGGGGGAA